rnacentral:misc_RNA from 1 species
GAGACUACAAUAACACACAAGAGGGAAAUGCAAACUGAGACAAGUAAUCACAGUGUUCAGCCUUCUCUUUUGGGCGAACGUGCUGCUUCUGCACAAUCAACUGCAAUAAUCCGGAAGGAUCCGAAUGAUUCGUUUGGCAUAAACAAGCUUAAUAUUGAUGAUUCUAUUCCUGCAGUUGCUGGGAAGCCUUCAUCCAGUUUGCAGUUGUCACCGGGGUUGUCUUCAUCAAUGAAGUCUACUCAUCCCCAGGCAUCGAGAGGCCAAGGAAGAGGAUUUAA